UAGGGUGUACCUCAGAGGUAGAGUACUUAUCUAGCAUGUAUGAGGCCCUGGGUUCAAUCCUCAGCACCACAA
rnacentral:tRNA from 1 species